UACGAAGGGGGCUAGCGUUGUUCGGAAUUACUGGGCGUAAAGCGCACGUAGGCGGGUUGUUAAGUCAGGGGUGAAAUCCUGGAGCUCAACUCCAGAACUGCCUUUGAUACUGGCAACCUAGAGACUGGAAGAGGUUAGUGAAAUUCCCAGUGUAGAGGUGAAAUUCGUAGAUAUUGGGAAGAACACCAGUGGCGAAGGCGGCUAACUGGUCCAGCACUGACGCUGAGGUGCGAAAGCGUGGGGAGCAAACAGG
rnacentral:rRNA from 1 species